UGUGAUAUCAUGGUAACAGAAGAAACUUUGUACAUAACCUCGGUGCUCACUCUAGUAUUACUGGUGAGGAAUCUUACGCUCAGAUGGUGAGGCAGUUUCCAAGUUAAAAUCAUGCUGUAGUCUAUGCAAAAGGCGAGACAUCGUCUCCACUAAUUAUGAUGACUGUGGGAUAGAAUUGAGGGUGAACCAUUGUAUUCAUCUUCCUCUCUUUAGAGUUCAGUAUUCAGCGUGCCUUGAACCAACUCCUGAGACAGAAGGCAGAAUGGCAUUGUAGGAUCAUCCUUACUGGCUCUUAUAAUAUACUUUGACAUUUUCAUAUGACAGUGUAUUCUGUCAGCAAACAAAGGAUUUGCAAGAAGACUUUCAUCACUUUCCAAGACCACUUUGCAAUUAAUUCAAGUUGUAUCUUUUGGAAUGUAAGUCAAAGAAGUGAAGGAUGUACAUACUCAUAAACUAAAUGCGUGUGCUUUCAUGUUGAAGCUGGAAAUCCUUCAAUAUUUUUACAAGUUCCUGUGCACAUUCAUUGAAUCUACCUAGCUUCCAGCAAAUGCAUUUUCUUGUCACCACUAGGUGUCAUUGUAUCUGUUUUUAAGGUUUUUUAGUACACCAGUGACUGACAUAUUUUUGAAGACUUCACCAGUGAUUUAACAAUAGUUCAGAUUAGAAGAGACGUUAUGGGGGUGGAAGGAGCUGUGAUAGAAUGAGGAAAAGCAAAUUAGGUCCUGAG
rnacentral:lncRNA from 1 species